AUUGAACGCUGGCGGCAGGCUUAACACAUGCAAGUCGAGCGGAGUGAUGGUGCUUGCACUAUCACUUAGCGGCGGACGGGUGAGUAAUGCUUAGGAAUCUGCCUAUUAGUGGGGGACAACAUCUCGAUAGGGAUGCUAAUACCGCAUACGUCCUACGGGAGAAAGCAGGGGAUCACUUGUGACCUUGCGCUAAUAGAUGAGCCUAAGUCGGAUUAGCUAGUUGGUGGGGUAAAGGCCUACCAAGGCGACGAUCUGUAGCGGGUCUGAGAGGAUGGUCCGCCACACUGGGACUGAGACACGGCCCAGACUCCUACGGGAGGCAGCAGUGGGGAAUAUUGGACAAUGGGGGGAACCCUGAUCCAGCCAUGCCGCGUGUGUGAAGAAGGCCUUAUGGUUGUAAAGCACUUUAAGCGAGGAGGAGGCUCUUUUGGUUAAUACCCAAGAUGAGUGGACGUUACUCGCAGAAUAAGCACCGGCUAACUCUGUGCCAGCCGCCGCGGUAA
rnacentral:rRNA from 1 species